CUCAACCGCAAGGAGGGGGAUGCCUAAGGCAGGGCUAGUGACUGGGGUGAAGUCGUAACAAGGUAGCCGUACCGGAAGGUGUGGCUGGAUCACCUCCUUAAAGGGAGACCUAAUUCAGGUAGGAGACGAAAAAAAAGUAGUCCCUACCAAGAAUCAAUCCCAAAAGGUCGGAGCGAGGCAAAAUUGGCUUUCAAACUAGGUUCUGGUUUCACACAAGACCUGAAUCAGGAACAAGGGCUAUUAGCUCAGGUGGUUAGAGCGCACCCCUGAUAAGGGUGAGGUCCCUGGUUCGAGUCCAGGAUGGCCCACCUGCACAGGUGGCAAAAACAAAAGAAGCGAGGAAUCAGCACCUUAUCUUACUUAUAUAGUAAGAGAGAAUGCUGGCUCUGAGUACAGAGUCCAGAGGAACCUUGAAAACUGCAUAGAGCUAGGUGAAAAAGCCAAAAAAGAAGACCGCAAGGUCAAGCUAAUAAGGGCUAACGGUG
rnacentral:sRNA from 1 species